AUGGAACAAGAACAUGAGGAAAUGGUAGAGGAGGGAGAACAAGCCAUGUUUAUAACUGCCCAUGCAAUAGGUCAACAAAUUGCAGUUCCAACUCCAACUGUGACAAUUCACAUUAAUGGAAAAAGAGCAACAGCCUUGCUGGAUUCUGGCAGUAGUUCCUCCUUUAUGAGCCAAGACUUUGCAGUAAAGGCAAACUGUCAUCUACUCCCAGUGAAACCUAGAAAGAUUGCAGUUGCAGGUGGUGGUCAAUUAAUAUCAAAGGCAGUAGUUCCUAACUGUGAAUUCCAGUUGGCCAAGCAAUCAUUGCAGUAUACUUUCAGAGUUUUGCCCUUACCUGGAUAUGAUGUUAUAUUGGGGUAUGACUGGUUCACUCAGAUGAGCCCAGUAGCCUUCAAUAUUCCAGAGAAUACUUUCAGUUUCACAUUGCAGGGAAAAACAACAAUUAUUGCUGCUAUCUUCAAUACACCAGAGAAUGUUAAAGAAGUGCAAGCUGAACAAAUGGGCAAAUUGUUGGAGAAAGGAGCUGAAGCAUUUCUGUUACAAGUGCAUAAUAUAAUCCUGCAAGCACCUGUUGGUUUCAAAACUCCCCCUCAAUUACAGAAACUGUUAAUGGAUUAUGCAGAUCUGUUUGAGGAACCUAGUAACUUACCCCCAAAUAGAGAUUGUGACCACACAAUCCCUUUAAAACCUGGAACUGAACCUCCUCAUACUAGGCCUUACAGAGUCCCUCUGCACCAGAAGAAGGAAAUGGAAGAGCAAAUCAAGAAAUUAUUGGCAGCUCACUUUAUCAGACACAGUCAAAGUCCUUAUGCUGCUCCUGUAAUCUUGGUCAAGAAGAAGGACAACUCUAUGAGGUUAUGUACUGAUUUCAGGAAAUUAAACUCCCUAACCAUCAAAAAUAAAUUUCCUAUUCCUGUUAUAGAGGAUUUGUUGGAUGAGUUACAAGGGGCAAAGUACUUCUCCAAAUUAGAUCUGAGGGCAGGCUACCAUCAGAUCAGAAUGCACCCACAUGACAUUCACAAAACUGCAUUCAGAACAUUCUUGGGCCAUUUUGAAUACUUAGUAAUGCCUUUUGGCUUAUCCAAUGCUCCUGCUACUUUUCAAGCCCUAAUGAACAAGAUCUUUGGGCCUCAUCUGAGAAAGUUUGUGCUAGUGUUCUUUGAUGACAUUCUCAUCUACAGCAAGACAUUGGAAGAGCACAUUAAGCAUGUAGAAGAGGUGUUUAGAAUAUUGAAGGGAAAUCAGUUAUGUGCAAAACUCUCUAAAUGUGUGUUUGCAGUUCCACAAGUAGAGUACUUGGGUCAUGUCAUAUCUGCUGAAGGGGUAGCUACUGAUCCACAGAAAAUCAAAGCUAUUGCAGAAUGGCCCAUUCCUGACAAUGUCACUAAACUGAGAAGUUUCCUGGGCUUAGCUGGUUACUAUAGAAGAUUUAUUAAGGGCUAUGGAGUUAUUUGCAGACCUUUGCAUGAUCUCCUUAAAAAGGGACAAUUCAAGUGGACAAGUGCACAUGAUGCAGCCUUCUCUCAGUUGCAACAAGCACUGAUUACUGCCCCAGUGCUUGCUCUGCCCAACUUUUCUUUACCUUUUGUAUUAGAGACUGAUGCUUCAGGAAAGGGUAUAGGAGCAGUAUUCAUGUAG
rnacentral:rRNA from 1 species